AUUGAACGCUGGCGGCAUGCUUUACACAUGCAAGUCGAACGGCAGCACAGGGAGCUUGCUCCCGGGUGGCGAGUGGCGCACGGGUGAGUAAUACAUCGGAACGUGUCCUGUUGUGGGGGAUAACUGCUCGAAAGGGUGGCUAAUACCGCAUGAGACCUGAGGGUGAAAGCGGGGGAUCGCAAGACCUCGCGCAAUUGGAGCGGCCGAUGCCCGAUUAGCUAGUUGGUGAGGUAAAGGCUCACCAAGGCGACGAUCGGUAGCUGGUCUGAGAGGACGACCAGCCACACUGAGACUGAGACACGGCCCAGACUCCUACGGGAGGCAGCAGUGGGGAAUUUUGGACAAUGGGGGCAACCCUGAUCCAGCCAUGCCGCGUGCAGGAUGAAGGCCUUCGGGUUGUAAACUGCUUUUGUCAGGGACGAAAAGGACCGUGUUAAUACCAUGGUCUGCUGACGGUACCUGAAGAAUAAGCACCGGCUAACUACGUGCCAGCAGCCGCGGUAAUACGUAGGGUGCAAGCGUUAAUCGGAAUUACUGGGCGUAAAGCGUGCGCAGGCGGUUCUGUAAGACAGAUGUGAAAUCCCCGGGCUCAACCUGGGAAUUGCAUUUGUGACUGCAGGACUAGAGUUCAUCAGAGGGGGGUGGAAUUCCAAGUGUAGCAGUGAAAUGCGUAGAUAUUUGGAAGAACACCAAUGGCGAAGGCAGCCCCCUGGGAUGCGACUGACGCUCAUGCACGAAAGCGUGNGGAGCAAACAGG
rnacentral:rRNA from 1 species